rnacentral:rRNA from 1 species
UACGUAGGGGGCGAGCGUUGUCCGGAUUCAUUGGGCGUAAAGAGCGCGUAGGCGGCUGAGCAAGUCGGAUGUGAAAGCUCCAGGCUCAACCUGGAGAGGCCACUCGAUACUGCUCUAGCUAGAGUCCGGUAGGGGAAGGUGGAAUAUCUGGUGUAGCGGUGAAAUGCGCAGAUAUCAGGUGGAACACCGGUGGCGAAGGCGGCCUUCUGGGCCGGUACUGACGCUGAGGCGCGAAAGCGUGGGGAGCGAACAGG